GCGGAAUGAAAGUGAACGGAGGUGGGACCCCCGCAAGGGGCGCACCAUCGACCGAUCCAAUGUCUUCGGAUGGAUUUGAGUACGAGCGCGGCCGUUGGGACCCGAAAGAUGGUGAACUAUGCCUGGGUAGGGUGAAGCCAGAGGAAACUCUGGUGGAGGCUCGCAGCGGUUCUGACGUGCAAAUCGAUCGUCAAACCUGGGCAUAGGGGNGAAAGACUAAUCGAACCAUUUAGUAGCUGGUUCCUGUCGAAGUUUCCCUCAGGAUAGCAGUCGCGCGGGCGGUUUUAUGAGGUAAAGCGAAUGAUUAGAGGCCUUGGGGGUGCAACACCCUUAACCUAUUCUCAAACUUUAAAUAUGUAAGAAGCCCCUGUUGCUCCGGUGAACGGGGGCGUGCGAACGCGGCGCGGCUAGUGGGCCAUUUUUGGUAAGCAGAACUGGCGAUGCGGGAUGAACCGAACGCGGGGUUAAGGUGCCGGAAUGCACGCUCAUCAGACACCACAAAAGAUGUCAAUUCAUCCGGACAGCCGGACGGUGGCCAUGGAAGCCGGUCCGCUAAGGAGUGCGU
rnacentral:rRNA from 1 species